CCAGACUCCUACGGGAGGCAGCAGUGGGGAAUACUGCACAAUGGGGGAAACCCUGAUGCAGCGACGCCGCGUGAGUGAAGAAGUAUUUCGGUAUGUAAAGCUCUAUCAGCAGGGAAGAAAAUGACGGUACCUGAUUAAGAAGCCCCGGCUAACUACGUGCCAGCAGCCGCGGUAAUACGUAGGGGGCAAGCGUUAUCCGGAUUUACUGGGUGUAAAGGGAGCGCAGACGGCAGUGCAAGUCUGGAGUGAAAGCCCGGGGCCCACCCCCGGAACUGCUCUGGAAACUGUGCGGCUAGAGUGCUGGAGGGGCAGGCGGAAUUCCUAGUGUAGCGGUGAAAUGCGUAGAUAUUAGGAGGAGCACCAGUGGCGAAGGCGG
rnacentral:rRNA from 1 species